AACUGGGAUUAGAUACCCCACUAUGCCUAGCCGUAAACAUUGAUAGAAUUAUACACCCUUCUAUCCGCCUGGAUAUUACGAGCAUUAGCUUGAAACCCAAAGGACUUGGCGGUACUUUAGAUCCCCCUAGAGGAGCCUGUUCUA
rnacentral:rRNA from 1 species